ensembl:lncRNA
CUUAUCGUCAAAUAGUCUUCUUUUAAUGUUUUAUUUACAUUUAUCACCAGCAGGACAAAACAGGCAUUUCAGCUCAAGGGCUUCUUCAGUGCAUUUUUGAGCCCUUUGAUCACCCCCCUGGAGCCGUGUGAGGCACUUUUUUAUUAUGGAUGGAUGCGCUUUAUUUCACUUCCUUUGGACUGAUGAACUGUAACACCCGCUGACUGCCAUUAAACAGCUUGGAACAUCAAAGUCAAUUUUUAAUAUAACUCAGAUUGGAUUCAUCUGAAAGAAGGAAGUCACAUACGCCUAGGAUUGCUUUAGGGAUUCCAGAUAAAUCCUAGUUACCUGAUUCCCCUUCGAUCUCUGGUGUCUUGUGUGUGCCGGGCAAGCUCGCUUGACAGAUCUUCUCCUAUACCGAAGGAAAAGGACAAGCAUUAGUUACCCGGGAUUGUGUGGCAUUGACCUUUCAUCUCUGGACGUACUCACCUGAACCCCACCUCUCACUGAGUGAUCUUCACAGAAUCCGCACCUGAAAUCACCUGCUAUUCACC